rnacentral:rRNA from 1 species
AUUGAACGCUGGCGGCAUGCCUUACACAUGCAAGUCGAACGGCAGCACGGGAGCAAUCCUGGUGGCGAGUGGCGAACGGGUGAGUAAUGCAUCGGAACGUACCUUUCAGUGGGGGAUAACGUAGCGAAAGUUACGCUAAUACCGCAUAUUCUGUGAGCAGGAAAGCAGGGGAUCGCAAGACCUUGCGCUGAUUGAGCGGCCGAUGUCAGAUUAGCUGGUUGGUGAGGUAAAGGCUCACCAAGGCGACGAUCUGUAGCGGGUCUGAGAGGAUGAUCCGCCACACUGGAACUGAGACACGGUCCAGACUCCUACGGGAGGCAGCAGUGGGGAAUUUUGGACAAUGGGGGCAACCCUGAUCCAGCCAUGCCGCGUGAGUGAAGAAGGCCUUCGGGUUGUAAAGCUCUUUCAGCCGGGAAGAAAUCGCAUUGGUUAAUACCUGAUGUGGAUGACGGUACCGGAAUAAGAAGCACCGGCUAACUACGUGCCAGCAGCCGCCGUAACAC